UCCUAGAACUUUCAUGUAUCUUGCCUCUUGCUCUUGUUUUCGCAGCAGGUAUGCAGUUCUGCUCAUGCAUGUGCGUGUCUGAGACAGUGGUUACACCAUGACCAGACAGUACUAAGUAGUAUCCAAGGUUGUGUGUAUUAAAAUGGAUCUGAUGUAGGGGGGGCCAUUGCAGAUUGAAUUUUCCAUGAAUUGUUACUUGCCAAAUAUACCAUAAAUCUUACAAUGCACUAGUGUACUUGAUCUUUGCUAAGUAUUAGGCCUUUUCUUUUGGAAGAUCAUUUUUUUUCAUCGGUAGCAACUUAGAACAGUCAAAAUGAGAACAUUCCUGUGCUUAUUUACUAGUAUUACCUUGCAUGUUGCUGGAUCUUGUACACAACCAAGUGAAGGUUGCCUACUGGUGAAAUAGUUUUUGGAUGUACUACUCUUGAUUAGUCUUGUGUAAGCCAACUGUUUUCUCAGAUUAUUGUACUGCUCCUGUUAUCAAUCUCUUCAUCAUCUGGCAUGUGAACUAAUAGAUCUGUAUCUAAAAAAAUCCGCACUAAUAGAUGGUAUUUGAAAACAUUGUCUUCAAAGUUGGUAUAUCAGUACACUCGGUUGUUCAACAACUUCAUGCUUAGUGUACUGUUUGCGGUUAAUUACAGUACUUACAAUCAUUAAACUUCUGUUUCCCUCAAUACCUCUAUUGUUGUUUUUUUUUUUGCGGGGAAUACCUCUAUUGUUGUUGUUAGUCUGUUGAUCUUCAAGACAAUUAGAUAACAUGUUUUUUGGCUAUUGAUUUGUGUAGGAAUGGGCCUUCAGAUGCCCCAC
rnacentral:lncRNA from 1 species